UUUAGGCUUAGGCUUAGGCUUCGGCUUGGACUUAGGCUUAGGUUUAGAUUUAGGCUCAGGCUUUGGCUUAGGCUUAGGCUGACGCUUAGGCUAAGG
ensembl:ncRNA R12A1.5 ncRNA